rnacentral:rRNA from 1 species
UACGUAGGGGGCUAGCGUUGUCCGGAAUCAUUGGGCGUAAAGCGCGUGUAGGCGGUCCGGUAAGUCCGCUGUGAAAGUCGGGGGCUCAACCCUCGAAUGCCGGUGGAUACUGUCGGGCUAGAGUGCGGAAGAGGCGAGUGGAAUUCCUGGUGUAGCGGUGAAAUGCGUAGAUAUUCGCAAUAACACCAGUGGCGAAGGCGGCUCACUGGCCCGAUACUGACGCUGAGGCACGAAAGCGUGGGGAGCAAACAGG